GACGAACGCUGGCGGCGUGCUUAACACAUGCAAGUCGAACGGUCUACCUCGACUGAAACCUUCGGGUUGACGACGAGAUCUAGAUAGUGGCGGACGGGUGAGUAACACGUGAAUAAUCUGUCCUCAAGUCUGGGAUAACCUGGCGAAAGUCGGGCUAAUCCGAGGUAAGCUGAGAGUGUGGCAUCACACAAUCAGAAAAGGUGGUUUUACCAUCGUUUGAGGAGGAGUUCGCGGUAGAUUAGCUAGCUGGUGAGGUAAUGGCUCACCAGGGCAAUAAUCUAUAGCUGGUCUGAGAGGACGAUCAGUCACACUGGAACUGAGACACGGUCCAGACUCCUACGGGAGGCAGCAGUGGGGAAUCUUCCACAAUGGGCGAAAGCCUGAUGGAGCAACGCCGCGUGAGUGAAGAAGGUCUUAGGAUUGUAAAGCUCUGUCCUUAGGGAAGAACUGUGGGUAUAGUAAAUGCUACCCACCUGACGGUACCUUUGGAGGAAGCACUGGCUAACUACGUGCCAGCAGCCGCGGUAAUACGUAGAGUGCAAGCGUUGUCCGGAAUUAUUGGGCGUAAAGGGUACGCAGGCGGAUAAUCAAGUCAAGCGUGAAAGGUGUCGGCUUAACCGACAGACUGCGUUUGAAACUGGUUAUCUUGAGUGUAACAGAGGAGAGUGGAAUUCCUAGUGUAGUGGUGAAAUACGUAGAUAUUAGGAAGAACACCAGUGGCGAAGGCGACUCUCUGGGUUAACACUGACGCUGAGGUACGAAAGCUGGGGGAGCGAACGGGAUUAGAUACCCCGGUAGUCCCAGCCGUAAACGAUGGAUACUAGGUGUUGGA
rnacentral:rRNA from 1 species